GACGUAGGGUCCAAGCGUUGUCCGGAUUUACUGGGCGUAAAGAGCGCGUAGGCGGUCUGUUAAGUGUAGAGUAAAAUCUCCAGGGCUCAACCCGGAAACUGCUCUGCAUACUGGCAGACUGGAGUGAUGCAGAGGUUUGUGGAAUUCCUGGUGUAACGGUGAAAUGUGUUGAUAUCAGGAGGAACACCCAUGGCGAAGGCAGCAAACUGGGCAUUAACUGACGCUGAGGCGCGAAAGCGUGGGUAGCAAACAGG
rnacentral:rRNA from 1 species